CAAUAGCCAUCUAUGUAAGAUAUUCCUCUAAACCAAUAAUAUUAUUUGACUCCUCCCAGUGGGAGUAUACAAUGGAAGCCACGUGUUUUUUUCCCCAGGUAUCGUGCUAUUUCUCAUGAAAAUCGAUCGCUGUGGCCAUCCACCUGUCUAUAAAAAGAAGCAACAAUGAGAGUAGGUAUCAGAUGUGUUUAACUUCAAGUUGAAUUAAUUAACCAUGUGUGCUUUGAUUCUGAAUAUAGUGGUAGCUUUUGCCUUGAUGGCCUGUACUGCUAACAGCAAAAAAUAUUAUUCAAAGAGGCGCGAAGUUAACCUGAAAACUGUAUCGUGUGAUAGAGUUGAAAAGUCGGAUUUGUGUCACUGCUGUCCUGUAGAUCCAUGCGAUGGUGUUACCUGCAUGAAUGGUGGAACAUGUGUAGGUGAAGGUGUUUGCGAAUGUGUAUCUGGUUUCAGUGGACCAACGUGCAACAUAAAUCCAUGCGACCGUGUUACCUGCAUGAACGGAGGACAAUGUAUAGGUGAAGGUGUUUGUAAUUGCACCUUUGGCUUUGGUGGACCAACGUGCAACAUGAGAGUAUGUAACGUGACCGAGUGUAGUGAUAGAGGGGGAGUAUGUUUCCUAUUGAAUUGUACGACUAAUGAUGGAAAUUGUUUUGUUGCUAUAGAUAACAUAUUCAAUUUGUGUGGUUCUCAGGGUGUACCAUGUGGGGAAGGAUUUUGUGCUCUUACUUUUGGUAGUAAAUGUGUAAACAACACGUGCAGGACUCCAGGUGAAUGUGAUACGCUGAGUGUUGACUCCCCUUGCACUGCAGUUGGUACCAAUGGCACUUGUUCAGGUGGUGUUUGUCUUGAACCAUGUGAUGAAGACAAGGAUUGUAGAGGUUUUCCAUGUAUUGAUGGAUUCUGUGCAUUUGUUAAAUGUGGAGAAUCAUUUUGUAAUUUGGUUACACCCUAGUUUAUGUUAUGCUACAAUGAACAACUAUUUUAGAUUCAAUCAAAUAAAUUAUGAUAUUUAACCACUGAUAUAAGAUUUAAUAUAAUAAACUAUAUUGUAAUAUUUAACCACUUCUGUUAAAUAGAUGAAUUCCAUUUAGUUCUUUCUUUAUAAAUUAUAAUUCUAAGCCAACAAUAUAUUCAUAUAAACCAAUAACUACAAUAUUCAUCUGUAUUUCUUCAUAAAAACCAGAUAAACCAAAAAUUUAAAAUGU